GAAGAACAGUGAACCCAAGUUCUGCAAAGAUCAGCAUAACUAUUUUUUCAUAAGUCUAGAUAGUUAACUAGGAAAUUAAAUAACAUGAAAAAGAAUAUUAAACUUGAUCCUGCAACCGUGCAAAGUACUUCCUGAACAAACAAGAUAACAAAAAAUGAAAACAUUCAUUUACGAAUAUGGUUGCCUCUAAUGAACAAAGUAUAUGCCUUGAUGAAAUGUCGUGAAAUCAAUUUUUUGAAAAUAGUGGUACAGUAACUUUCCCCUUUGGUAUUGACCAGAAAGAAAAAUUCCCUUUGGUGAAAUGGAACAGCUUUUUGCCGACAGCAUUUCUUACGGUGUAAUUAGUGAUGCUGAAAGAAUAUGUGAUAGAAAAGCGAAAACAACGUAAUUUUACUAACAAUCAACAAAGGUUACAUACGUCCGUUAGUAGUUUCUCAGCGGUUAAAAAUGCAAGGCAAUGUACUACUAAAGGCGUUGAAAGAUGAAGCUGCGUCAAGGGAAAAAAAUAACCAAUCAAUUUGACAGGAACAUAAAGUAGACAUAAUGUACUAAUCGUUGCAGGUUUUCUGUAAUGAAACAUUAUAAAACCAAAUGACAUAUCAUUUAAAUCCGUAUGCAUCAGUUAUUGGCAUGAUGAUCCUUCACCAGAUAGCUGUGAGAUAUUUCACGAAGAAAAUAUGUUAUCACCGACAGCAAUAUCGUACGAAAACGAUGUCGGCAAAUCAAGUUUACCAUCCUGAAAAUCGUACUGUGAUUUUUGCGCAAAAAGUUUUACUGGGAACCUAAACAAAUAGCUCUGAAUUAUUCAAGAAGACACAAGCACCAUCGCGUACUUCAUUAACACCAGAGACUCAGAGGUCAUUUCAGUGAAAGAAUUAAUAACUCCGAAAUGACUGUACAACGUUUAAAAGAACGUUAACAUCAGGAUAAUACAAGCAGCUACAACAGAGUUCAGGACUUCCAAAGGACUGGUAGGACCAAAAACGAAGUAAAUUAAAGCAUGUCCUCAAACCAAAGUAGCAAUUUCCUAAAAGCCACAAGAUCUGCCGCAUAUAAGAACUUGGAGAUAGUUAACACUACUUCGUCACUCAAUGUCCGAAAUAAGAGUACACAUGCUCGUCAGGAGCUAGAUCUAACGUUUACCCGGUAAAUGCUGAACCUCUUCACCUCAAAUCUAACCAUACCAUGAAACAGAGAGAGCUUGAAAACCAAG